rnacentral:tRNA from 2 species
GCCCCCGUAGCUCAAUUGGUAGAGCACUUCCCUCUUAAGGAAUUGGUUUCGCGUUCGAGUCGCGACGGGGGCA